rnacentral:rRNA from 1 species
GACGAACGCUGGCGGCGUGCUUAACACAUGCAAGUCGAACGGAAAGGCCCUGCUUUUGUGGGGUGCUCGAGUGGCGAACGGGUGAGUAACACGUGAGUAACCUGCCCUUGACUUUGGGAUAACUUCAGGAAACUGGGGCUAAUACCGGAUAGGAGCUCCUGCUGCAUGGUGGGGGUUGGAAAGUUUCGGCGGUUGGGGAUGGACUCGCGGCUUAUCAGCUUGUUGGUGGGGUAGUGGCUUACCAAGGCUUUGACGGGUAGCCGGCCUGAGAGGGUGACCGGCCACAUUGGGACGGAGAUACGGCCCAGACUCCUACGGGAGGCAGGAGUGGGGAAUAUUGCACAAGGGGCGGAAGCCUGAUGCAGCAACGCCGCGUGCGGGAUGACGGCCUUCGGGUUGUAAACCGCUUUCGCCUGUGACGAAGCGUGAGUGACGGUAAUGGGUAAAGAAGCACCGGCUAACUACGUG